CGGACGACGCUGGCGGCGUGCUUAACACAUGCAAGUCGAACGGUAACGGGCCUUCGGGUGCCGACGAGUGGCGAACGGGUGAGUAAUGUAUCGGAACGUACCUUUCAGUGGGGGAUAACGUAGCGAAAGUUACGCUAAUACCGCAUAUUCUGUGAGCAGGAAAGCAGGGGAUCGCAAGACCUUGCGCUGAUUGAGCGGCCGAUAUCAGAUUAGCUAGUUGGUGAGGUAAAGGCUCACCAAGGCGACGAUCUGUAGCGGGUCUGAGAGGAUGAUCCGCCACACUGGAACUGAGACACGGUCCAGACUCCUACGGGAGGCAGCAGUGGGGAAUUUUGGACAAUAGGGGCAACCCUGAUCCAGCCAUGCCGCGUGAGUGAAGAAGGCCUUCGGGUUGUAAAGCUCUUUCGGCCGGGAAGAAAUCGUAUGGGUUAAUACCCUGUGCGGAUGACGGUACCGGCAUAAGAAGCACCGGCUAACUACGUG
rnacentral:rRNA from 1 species